rnacentral:rRNA from 1 species
AUGAACGCUGGCGGCGUGCCUAAUACAUGCACGUCGAGCGAACAGACGAGGAGCUUGCUCCUCUGACGUUAGCGGCGGACGGGUGAGUAACACGUGGAUAACCUACCUAUAAGACUGGGAUAACUUCGGGAAACCGGAGCUAAUACCGGAUAAUAUAUUGAACCGCAUGGUUCAAUAGUGAAAGACGGUUUUGCUGUCACUUAUAGAUGGAUCCGCGCCGCAUUAGCUAGUUGGUAAGGUAACGGCUUACCAAGGCGACGAUGCGUAGCCGACCUGAGAGGGUGAUCGGCCACACUGGAACUGAGACACGGUCCAGACUCCUACGGGAAGCAGCAGUAGGGAAUCUUCCGCAAUGGGCGAAAGCCUGACGGAGCAACGCCGCGUGAGUGAUGAAGGUCUUCGGAUCGUAAAACUCUGUUAUUAGGGAAGAACAAAUGUGUAAGUAACUAUGCACGUCUUGACGGUACCUAAUCAGAAAGCCACGGCUAACUACGUG